UCGAUCGACGGGGGUAGGUAAGGCACAAUGUGGAGCUAUGGGCACGGUACUUUCCUUGCCUGGUACGGCAAACAUUGACUCUCUUGGCCGACGUGGACAUUGGCGGUAAGAAGGGAGGGUCAACGCGAUGGCCAAACAGAUUUA
ensembl:ncRNA F01E11.8 ncRNA